AUGGCUGCAGUAUUUUGACUGUACAAAGGUAGCAUAAUCAUUAGUUUCUUAAUUAGAAGCUGGUAUGAAUGGUUUAAUGAAAAAAAUACUGUCUUUAUUUAAAUUUUAAAAGAACUUUAUUUUUGAGUUAAAAAGCUUAAAUUUUUUUAANAGACGAGAAGACCCUAUAGAGUUUAAUAAUUUUAAAAAUAAUAAUUUUAAGAAUUUUAUUUAAUUUAUUUUGAUGAUUAUUUUGUUGGGGUGACAAAAAAAUAUAAUAAACUUUUUUUUUAUGAAUACAUUUAUUUAUGAUUAUUUGAUCCGUUAUUUAUGAUUAUAAGAUUAAAUUACCUUAGGGAUAACAGCGUAAUUUUUUUGGCGAGUUCUUAUCAAUAAAAAAGUUUGCGACCUCGAUGUUGGAUUAAAAUUUACAAUUGGUGCAGUAGCUAAAUUGUUAGGUCUGUUCGACCUUUAAAAUUUUACAUGAUCUGAGUUUAAACCGGUGUGAGCCAGGUUGGUUUCUAUCUUUAGAUAGUUUAAAUAUUUUAGUACGAAAGGACCAAAUAUUUGUAAAAUUUAUUUUAAGUUGAAUUAAA
rnacentral:rRNA from 1 species